GAAUAUUGGACAAUGGGCGCAAGCCUGAUCCAGCCAUGCCGCGUGUGUGAAGAAGGCCUUCGGGUUGUAAAGCACUUUUGUUGGGGAAGAAAGCUGCCGGGCGAAUACCCUGGCGGGAUGACGGUACCCAAAGAAUAAGCACCGGCUAACUUCGUGCCAGCAGCCGCGGUAAUACGAAGGGUGCAAGCGUUACUCGGAAUUACUGGGCGUAAAGCGUGCGUAGGCGGUUGAUUAAGUCUGCUGUGAAAGCCCCGGGCUCAACCUGGGAAUGGCAGUGGAAACUGGUCAGCUGGAGUGCGGUAGAGGAGGGUGGAAUUUCCGGUGUAGCGGUGAAAUGCGUAGAGAUCGGAAGGAACAUCCGUGGCGAAGGCGACCCUCUGGACCAGCACUGACGCUGAGGCACGAAAGCGUGGGGAGCAAACAG
rnacentral:rRNA from 1 species